UACGUAGGGCGCAAGCGUUUAUCCGGAAUUAUUGGGCGUAAAGAGCUCGUAGGCGGUUUGUCGCGUCGGCUGUGAAAACCUGAGGCUCAACCUCAGGCCUGCAGUCGAUACGGGCAGACUAGAGUCCGGCAGGGGAGACUGGAAGUUCCUGGUGUAGCGGUGAAAUGCGCAGAUAUCAGGAGGAACACCGGUGGCGAAGGCGGGUCUCUGGGCCGGAACUGACGCUGGAGGAGCGAAAAGCGUGGGGAGCGAACAGG
rnacentral:rRNA from 1 species